rnacentral:rRNA from 1 species
GACAGAGGCCUCAAGCGUUAGGCGGAAUCACUGGGCUUAAAGCGUGUGUAGGCGGAUCGUUAAGUGUAGAGUGAAAUCUCUGGGCUCACCCCCAGAAACUGCUCUGCAUACUGGCGAGCUUGAGUGAUGAAGAGGUUUGUGGAAUUCCUGGUGUAACGGUGAAAUGUGUUGAUAUCAGGAGGAACACCCAUGGCGAAGGCAGCAAACUGGUCAUCAACUGACGCUGAGGCGCGAAAGCGUGGGUAGCAAACAGG